UUAAAAUAUUUACUCCAGUCCAUUUAGUUUUUCAGUAAAAUUACCUGGUUAUUAUAAUAAUAUCAAUAAAAUAUUUUCAUUUCUACCAUUUUCAACAUAAAAACUAAAAAUGAUAUUGCAUGUACAUUGAUAGAAAUAUUCAAUUUUACAAAAAAAAGAGUAAAAAUGAUAAAGUAAUCAAAUGUUAUUUAAAAAGCCGUAUACAAUAUUAUAUUACUAUCAACAGAAAUUAUGUAGAUCUCUAACAGUAACAAAAUCUGUAAUAUUACUUCCUUUUCUUGUUGUUUCCAUUUGAAUAUUAAAGGGACUUCACUGAGGUUUAAAAGCCAAUAAAAAAAAAACAAAAAAAAACAAUACAUUUAAAUGUCUUAAAUAAAUGAGCUGGGGCACUUUAAACAGAAAUAUAUGCAAAGAUAAUUAAGAAAUAUACUUUGAAAUAAAUUGAAAAUCUUUUAUUAUGCUUUUCUUAGCCCGAUUUGAGUGAAAAGUGUUUAAAUGAUUUUCAUUUUGGGCUAUUUUUUACAAUUUGAAUACUUAUUCUGGAAAAACGAAGUGUGUGAAUGAUCAAAGAUCAGUGGUCUAAACCAGUACAUCAAAUGGUACAUUUGUCUGGGGAAAAAAGUAGACCAAUUCACUUUAAUGGUUAGAAUCGACAGUACAAUUUGUUAAGUUUUAAGAUAUAAAUAAUGUAUUCCGUUUAAAACGGGUCCACUGAAGGUUUCAUAAAUCCAUAUUUUAUUUAUUCUAGAUGGUAUUUAAAAGCAUGCUUGCAAUCAAUUUCAUUUAAAAAGUUAUUUAGAUGCAAAAUUACUCACCAAGUCUUGAAGAAACAACCCGCAUGUAUAAAUGACAGCGAUUCUAACCAUCGCGUCUAUUUUACCAGUUUAACCGCAGCUUUGCGUGUAAUUAAACUACACAGGCAGUUCAAAGAGUUUCGGCGGCGACGGUCAAGCCGAUACGCUUACACGGGGGAGUCAGGUACUCGGUAUGCAAGACACAAUUUUCGUGACAGUACUAUUCUUUUAUAGAAGAAUUAAAUUAUCUUAUCUAUCGGUUAUGAAUAAUUGAAAUGUUGAUUUAUAAGAAAUAUCAUUUAAACGUUUGUAAACAUAUUGUAAUUAGACCGAACACCCCUUCAAGUGCGCGAAAAAUGAAGUCGUCCACUUUUGCGUCAUUAAGUGCCAUUGCCACAUUAUUAGCAGGACAGGGCAUUUUCGGUAGAUGGUAGAAAAAAAGCUUUUGUGUCGGAUAUAUAAUAAACUUCAAAAGGAGUUUUUAUGAUGAGGAAGGCCGAAGGGUCUAAGCCUGUUGACUCAGUCAAGAAAAAUGGAUGUGAUAGAGGAGACUGUUGAUUAUAAUUAAAACAAAAGAAGGAAAUAUUUUGUUGUUAAGAAGAUUUUUCCUAUUCAUCUCAGAGGGACAAAAACAAUUAUUUGGAUCAUGGAACAUGUGCAUAAACUUUGCAAAAGUUUUGUUGAAACUUCCAUUUGAUAAUGAAGAUGGCUGCUGAAUAUUUUUUGUGACAAUAUCUGAAUGGAUGUAAAGAGAUGUUGAGAGUUAUUGUAAUUCACACACUGACAGGUGCAAUUCAGUGCUAAAUAGUACAUCUGCAACAUGUUGAAAGAAUAAAGCUAUAACACACUUGGAAUCAUUAUGUUUUCCAUAAACCUGAACAACUAAGUUUGGUAUACUGAAGUCAGAAUGUUCAUCUGUCUAUCCUGUGACCCACUGGAGAUAUCAACAUGUUAGUGAAACUUAAUUCAUUGUAGAUGGAUAUAUCUCAUUGUGCAGAAAUGAUUUGCUGAAGCUUUAUUUUUAGCUCAACUCUUUUUUCAAAGAAAAAAACUCAAGCUGUUGCUGUUUAGCUCACCUGAACACAAGUGGUCAAGGUGAGGUAUAGUGAUGGGGCUAAGGUUGCCAUUGUGCGUGGUGGGUCGUCAACAUUUGAGUUGUUAAAACACUCUAGCAUUCACAGAUUUGAAUGGAUCAUAAUCAAUCUUUGUCAGAAUGUUUGUCUCAAUGAAAUACAGGUCAAGUUAAAUCAUCUAGGUCACA